rnacentral:rRNA from 1 species
CAGAUCACGUAAAUCUUUAAUAGUCGAACAGACUAUUUAUAUAAGAUUCUACCCCUAAAUUACAAUUUAAUUCAACAUCGAGGUCACAAACUUAGUUAUUAAUAAGAACUUGCUAAUUAAAUAAUGCUGUUAUCCCUAGAGUAACUUAUAAAUAUUAAUUUAAUUAAUUAAAAAUUUUACUCUUCAAUAAUUACCCCAAUCAAAAAUUUAAAAAAUUUAAAGCUUCUAGGGUCUUCUCGUCCCAAGAUUUUAUAAUAGCAUUUUUACUAUUAAUUUAAAUUCAAAUUUAAUUAAUAAAACCUCCCUUUCAGUAUCAACCUUUCAUUCCAGUCCUCAAUUAAAAAA